CCGCCGCCGCCCCCCCUCCCAGCAGCCUUUGCACGCGCUACAAUGAAAUUUGCAAAGUUUUUUCGAUUUCGGCGCCAUUUUCGAGUGGACUCGGAGGUCUGGCAAAUAAUAUCAAGAGACUUUUUUUUUCAAAAAGAGGGUGACUUGGCAUGGGUUCUGCACAUUAGCUGAACCUCAACGAUGGAGGAGGAAGACUUUGGACAGACAUUUUGGCUCCUGUUGCAACGAAAGGCAAAUCUUUCCCAGGAGUUCUCUUUGCAUUAUUGUUAUCCGUCACAGAAACCGUUGGUACCAGUUGCGCGUGUUGCUAUGGUUCUCUUGGCAUGUGCUAAUUUGCACCCAUUUGGGAGAACACCUGUAGACUGCAAAGCCCAUUGAUCGGGGAUUCUGUCCUUUGUUCAGCAGCCGUACAUGGAGGAACAUGUGUUAUAUUUACCCAAAGUUCUCUUUCAGAUGCCUCCAUUAAACAAAGUAAGACAUGGUGAUAUCCUUCAAAUCACUCAUUAAUACUUACAUAUUGUUACCAGAUGUGCUGGAUCAUUAUUUUAUUUCCUGAUAUAUUUUGGCAACUACAACAUCAUUUUAGAACUUUUAAGUUGCUGUAUCUAUGCUCUAGGACUAGGUUUUAUCUUCAUUAUUAUCUGCUGUCUCUUUCUUUUGUACUGCCUAUAGAAUUUUGUUUUGGGGGAGAUCUGAAAUGUAAUAAACGUAGUUAUUAUCAGUGCUCCUGUGCAUUCUAAAGAAUAAAAAUGAUAGCCUCGGUACAGUAUGUUCACUCUUGGAACAUACAUCUCUUAUGUUCCAAGAGUGAAGCCCUAUGCUAGUGUGGCUGAUAAUUCAAAGAAAUAGGGAAUUGUCUUGAGCAUGAUGACACAUGUAUUUUCAAAAGAUAGCUGUUUCUCCAGCGGAAUGAAGGCAAAAGACAAGACUCUGGUCUGAAACCCAGAAAAGCCAAUUUUCCUUGUAUGCCUAUGCCUGCAUUUAAAAUAAAACCUGGAUUAGUUCUAAUCCUGUUUAAAAAAUGCAACAAAAACUCCAAGCGGAACUAAAGAGCCUUUUUAGGCAUAGCCAAGAACUACAGGUAUUUUUGAAACAAGUGCAACACUAUCAUUUGGUCAGAAAUAAAUCUUGUCAUGGCGUAUUUCAAGUGAGCACAAGAUUACAACACAUGCCUUAGGAGCAGGGUCUUCUAUCUCACAUACUUCCUCUUAAUUUCUUGCCUCUGAGAUAAAUUUUAGACAAUAACCUUUUUAGAAGCAGGGACAACAUUUUUAUAUACUUCUAAGGAAUACACACACAUUGAUAGCACUAUAUAAAUGAAUAUUUACAACAGUACUAUUGAAGACUUGGUGGAAAAUAAGCUCUUUUGUCCUAGAAGCAAAAAUGCUGUUUGGGAGAAGCUACGUUCCAACACAAUUGCUGUGACCCCAGUCCAAGAAAGUAAAAAAGCAGAUUUACAUCUGCAGCAGGACUUGAUGAAGACAACAUGGCCGAAUACACAACAUGCUUUCUAAAGAUGCCUGUAGAAAAUUCCUUGCAAGCAAAAAAAAAAAAAAAUACAACAGGCAACGGACUGAAACAGGACCUCUCUUCUCAGUCCAACAGAAUGUACUUACAAAUUUUUAUACAUGGCUGCAAAUGAUCAAUAUUUUGAUUUUCAUUGCAUCUUUUCCUCUUUAAGUUAUGUACGUAGGAGUGUUCCCUCACUGCACCCUCAGCAACGAUUUGCUAGAAGUGAAUUGGAAGGGAAAUAGUGUUCUCUAUGGCCUUCAAAGCAGAGUCUACUGGAGACAGCGUCUGCACCGAUUUGGUCAGUCAUGGACACCAAAUGGCUAUUAAGCAGACUCAUAAGAGGACCCUUAUAAUUGUUAGGGUGGGUUGUGCCUUUCAUUCUGGCAGCUUUGGUCUACUCAGAAGGACACAAAAAGCAGAAUUACACCUUUUAUUGUGAAAGACUGUUUUUUGUUUUAAAGGCAAAAUAUCCUUGAUGAAAUUCUAAUAUUAUUUCAGGCAAAUAAUGGAAUCUGAUCCUUUCAACACUCUGCCCUUUUAUGUACUUUGCAAUGUGGAAAACUACUGCAGAUUGAAGUAAGACUGGAAACAGAAUUUCCUAUUGAAAUGGCAUGUACAACAUCAUCCUAUUUGUACAACAUCAUCCUAUUUUUAACUAAGUCCACAAGGCACAGUUUCCAUAGCUGUCAGCUUUUCUCAUGAAUAUCAGAUUUAAACAGGAAGUUAUAAUGAAGUUUCAUGGUCUUAACAUCCAGAAGAGCAAGAAAGUUCUAUCAUCUAGUCCCAAUUAGACGUUUUAAAUAAAUGGAAUAGAAAUGAGAACUCCCACUGGCUUUUUAAGUUAUGUUUAUCAAAGAACAAAGAAUAGAUUUCUGGGAAAUCAAUAAUCUUUAUACUAGAGAGAUCAGGUAUUCAUUCUCCAUAUACAAUUUCAGCACAUUACUUUUAUUAGUCUAAAAUUCAGAAAAAUGUGCAAGCUUUCUGGAUCAUUUCCCCAAAAUUAACCCCAACCAACAUACUUCGUUAAAUUUUUGAUAUACCGUAGUUACAGGACAUUUAAAGAACACAACACAACCCAUUCUUUUGAAAAACUGCACAGCCUGCUAAAAAAAUCUAUUUCAGUACAAGUGGCGCCUUUAAUUUUGAAAGUUACAUUACAAAAUAAAAAAAUUGGUCAAUGGAGUAAGAGCAAUUAACAGAUUCAUUUUUAUACACAACUUUCCUACUAAACUGCAUUCUUCCAGGAAGUUUUCAAACCCAAAUGGAUUGAUUUUCAACUUGAGAGCCUUAGAGGUUCUUAUACACAAUAGUGAGUCCCUCAAGACAAUGAAAUGCAUUUUUAAAAAAAGCAGACAAAAGAUUAAAAAUAAAAAAAUAAACAAGACUUCAUAAACAAAGAUAUCACAGAAAGUUUUUUUUUUUGCAGUGUCAACUGCUAGUGGAUGUUCUCAGCUUUUCAUCCAACUGUCAGCCUGUUCCAAUCUGCUGCCUUAAUCUGACAUUUUGAGAGAUAAGAAAAAUAUCUGAAGAGUAAAAUUGGCAGUUUGCUAACUAAUUUAACUUUGUUUUUAGAAUAGGUUCAACCAAAACACCUGAAGUAAUUACAAGAAAUACCAGGAUUCUAUGACGUUGAAACUGGGAUGUUAAGACUUAACAUAAUUUCAGCCAUCCUUGCAGGUUAACAGCACUCACUGAUCUGCCAGGAAACUUUGAUGAAAUAUCAAAACAUUCUCAUAUAGUGGUCACAAGACACAAAAUAAAUACUGACCUCUUACCUCAAAAACAAAAAGACAUGACUCGAUGUCUUAUUUUCAUUUUUCUUACAGCAUACAGUAUACGAUAUAUAUAUAUAUAUAUAUAUAUAUAUAUAUAUAUAUAUAUAUAUAUAUAUAUAUAUAUAUGGACAAAACUUGUGUUCUACACAGCACAGAGCACUUGAGGUAUGAUGCCCAAUUGAGGGGAUUAAAUUCCAAAGUGAGCAUUAUGCAGUAACUUGGAAAUCUAAGAGAAAUGGGCCAGCAUUGAACACUUCCAGAAGACAACACCUUUUUUUCAGUUAUUCCAGCCACAGGGUUCAAAUAAAAGGAGAGCGGAAGGAAAGAAUGAACCACUGCCUUUUGGCAUGACUCUCACAGCUUACAGUCAGCAGUGGCCAGAGCGAUCUCCGGGCAGUAGAAUCCUCCCAACAGAGCUACACCAAAGACUCAAAGGCAGGUGUCUUGAGCUAAGAAUCGUUUUUUGUACAUUGGCCAUUUUGCAAAAGGGAUUAGUUCAUUGCCUUCUGGUUUGCUUCUGUAAUUUGCAUGGGAAGAAAAAUGUAAAAUGCACACAUUCUGCAGCCGUGCUAUCAAAAUAGGCACAUCCAAGUUGUAAGUAAAAACUUUUGACAGUCGCUGUGAUCACAAAGCCACUGAACGUUUUCCAAAUCAGAAAUUUAAUUCCAGGUCCAGGAACAGGAUUUACUAUUUCAACAUCUGUCACAGCGUUGACAUUGUACAAAUUACACCUCACUGAUACCGUGUUUCUCUAUGUGUGUUUCUCCAGGCACUGCAGAUUACCUACAUAAUAUUGACAUGUGAAACAACUUCUGCUGAAGGCUCAUACACGUGAACGUUUCUGGCAGUUCAAGGACAUUUCUAACAGGCAGUAGAAAAAAAAGUUACUAAGCAUUAAAAAAGAUUAGUAGUUA